CUCUUCUUGGCGUAACGUCCUCACUGGGACAAAGCCUGCUUCUCAGCUUAGUGUUCUAUGAGCACUUCCACAGUUAUUGACUGAGAGCUUCCUCUGCCAAUGACCAUUUUGCAUGCGUAUAUCGUGUGGCAGGCACGAAGAUACUCUAUGCCCAAGGAAGUCAAGGAAAUUUCCUUUACGAAAAGAUCCUGGACCGACCGGGAAUCGAACCCGUCACCCUCAGCAUGGUCAUGCUGAAUACCCGUGCCGCAGACAGACGUUCUAGCUCGAACAAAUUUAUUCAAAUUUUCUAUGUAAAUUUUCACUAGCGACACCUAGGCAACCGAUUGCCACAGUGCAGUCGCGUGCAGUUGACAGUUUGAGAAACCACGUGCUUCCAGCCGCUUGCUUACCACCCAAUUCACCACCCACCGAAAAAUAAAAUCAAAACAAACACUGUCAAAACCAUUCCUACAUUUAUGUCACAUUCACAAAGAUUUCCCAAUGCGAGUGAAGUUCAUCCAAAUGCAGUUUUAUUCAAGCAAAUCUAUGUAAAAUAAAAGUAAUAAUGUGUAAAAUAUUUUACAAGAGUCCUGCGCUAAUUUUUGCAAAAGAUUUUAGACAUUAAAUAAAAGUCAUUUACUCUGCACAAAUUAUGUGGAAACAGGCAUGAGAAUGAGACUUUUUUCUGUUUACCGUUCAUCGAUACUAGCAGUAAAAUAAAAACAAAACAACGGCAGCACCAAUACCAUCAGACGCCGCGCCGACGGCAGUCAAGCAGACGCUUGAUGGUUUUCGCUUCCCCACGAAAAUAUUUAUGAGCAGUCAAGCUGAGGCGGGUGAUUGCGAAAAAUGUCAAAUAUUUUCAACUGCUAAUAACUCACUUGUUUUGAUAGAUAAUUUAAAUCGAUUUGCACAAAUAGCUAGAGCACACUCCCAGCUUUGUGAUGCAUGUAAAGAAGUUUGUCUGGAAGCGGUUUGAAACGCAGAAAAAUGCGAAAAUGGGAGAGACAGAAAUUUUUGUCGUCGUUGUGCUCGAGUACUGGCGCUCUCGAGCUUGGAAACCGUUUCGAGGAAGAAGGCUGCAGGAAAAAAAAAUGUUAUGACAUUUAUUUUUCGAACAGUUUGAGUUUGGCUGGGCUUGUGAUGUUCGUGUGGAAAAAUGUCAAAUGUACAGCCGGUUACCGUUUUUUCCAGUACAUUUCUCAUCCCUGGAUUAGCGUGCAACACGUGCGGUCUGUUCCCGCCACCCGGCUGGAAGACGACCGUAGUGACAGUUGUUGCUCGCAACGCACAUGUGAGGCAGCGAUUGAAUAUGAACGUCGCUAACGCCAUCUGUUCGCUGAUUGCCACUUGGCAAUUUGUGGCGGCCAUGUUUUUUACACAAGCUGCUGAGUCAAACUUGAACGUCUGUCUGCGGGCAUAGUAUGUGACUAUUGUCGAAACAACACUAUUUUUAGUCAUUGUCCAACCAAGCGCAUAACUAUGUUAGGGUCAAGAUUAAGACUAUUUUUGGUCAUUGUCCACUAAGCGCAUAACUUUGUAAGGGUCAAGAUUAGGAUGAAAUCAUUGGUAAAAUAUAAUAACACUUUUUAGUUUGUGUAGUUAGUUGAACUAGUGUUAACUUUUUAUUGGGAUAUUUUCUGUAGGUUUAUUCUGGAUUACAAUGCAUUAUUUAUUUAUUUAUUUAUUUAUUUACUGAUCUCUUCAAACUUAAGACUGCUGUCUUUUAUGUUUAAGUGCUGAGGACAAGAAUUAUUUGGUUGCUAGAAAAAAAAACUCAUAAGAAUUACAAAAAAAAUCAAUUUUUAAAUUACUUAUUUAACUAAUUAACUAACUAAAAUGCUCAAUACACGCCCUUUUAAACCCGCCUGCUGAAACAAUCGAUUGAAUUCCAGAAGGUAAAUCAUUCCAGAAAUGUACACCUCUUACAAAAAAUGAACUCCCAUAUUGUGAUGUUCUAUAUCGGGGUAUUUGAAACUUUCUGCCACGCUGACUUCUGAAAGGGACUAAUUUGGAAAAUAAAUAAGGCGGGGCAUUGGGUUUCAAAAUGCUAUGGAGAAGAACAGUGCUUCUCAAUUUAAUAGAACUAUCCAAUUUACAACCAAUCAAGAAAUGCUGUAAAUGAGUCACGCUAGAAUAUCUGUUGAGAUUAAAAAUAAACCGGACACAACAAUUUAAUGCCACUUUGAAGCGGUUUAUAAUGUAAGCUGAAGCUUGUGGUAAAACAAAAUCACAGAACAAAAAGUGUGGGUAGAUUAGUGUUUUGAAGAGCAUCAAUUUGGUUUGGACAUUAAGACAUGCUGCUUUCAUUCUUAGAGUUCGAAGAGAUGCAUAUACUUUCCCGCAUUGUUUCAGUAAGAAUGAAUCCCAUUCAAAAUUAUUCUGAAUGGUGAUUCCUAAGCUAAGGACUUCAUUCGAGAACUCUAUUUUACGGCCAUUCAAAAUAAUGUUUGGUUGAUUGAUGUUUCUACUACGUGUUAUUAAAAUGGCCUGAGUUUUGCUUGUAUUUAGGAUCAGAGAGUUUUCUUUGGCCCAACCGGCUACAUCUGCAAGGCAUUUAUUUAUAAGAUUUUCAAUUUCAAGCUGUUCUAAGUUAGAGCAAUCGAAGAAGAUUUGCACAUCAUUAGCUGCCCUUUAACUGAAUUAUUUUAUAACAGUAAACAACAUUAUUCCUUCUUGAUAAAAGAUGUAUGGACAUAUUGGGUUUCUCAUUGAUGUUUAGACUACUGUGAUAAUUCGAUAAUCCAUUAGAUCAUCAUUUUCCAGCGACAUUUUACACUAAUCAAACUUAUUUUGUUUACUUGUUGUGCAUCCGACGCCCAAGUCAUGAAAUCAACCGAAGUUGUGUACGCUAGCCGCUGCGAAGUCGUGUGCGAAAUUGUGAUGAUAAUGAAUUCGGGCCGAGUCUAAAUGGGUGCAAAUGUCGCAAUAGAAUUGCCAAACUAUACAUCUGAUCAGAUAUUUUUCCGGUAUUAAAUUUGGGGUAGAGAGUUAAACACCUACGGAAAAUAGUUUUUCAAUGUCAGACAAACAUCACAUGAACACAGCUACCAAUGUACCAAACCUUCUCUACUGUCUUCUCAUUGCGCCGCUUCCUAUCCUCAAUUGAACUUAUCUGACACUAGUUAGGACUGCCUGUGGAAGAUCCGGGUUUCUAAUUCUGUGUAGGACUUGUUAAAACGGGAUGCCUGAUAUGUACUGCGGAUAAAAGGGCCCAUAUAGCCGAGGCGGUAAACGCACGGGUAUUCAGCAUGACCAUGCUGAGGGUGACGGGUUCGAUUCCCGGUUGGUCCAGGAUCUUUUCGUAAAGGAAAUUUCCUUGACUUCCUUGGGCAUAGAGUAUCUUCGUGCCUGCCACACGAUAUACACAUGCAAAAUGGUCAUUGGCAGAGGAAGCUCUCAGUUAAUAACUGUGGAAGUGCUCAUAGAACACUAAGCUGAGCAGCAGGCUUUGUCCCAGUGAGGAGGUUGCGCCAAGAAGAGGAGAGGACAAAUGGGCUGGAAGUACUGAGAUCACAAUUACUGUCGUAAUCAUAUUAAAUGCAUGCUUUUCUACUUACAUCCCGAACGUCGCCAACCGGCAAAGAGGACAUGACGAAACGCGAGAUGGCGUUAGCGUUAGCGUUAGCGUAGUUACGGUAUACUUCGUAGAUUGGAUACUAACAACAUUCAUGUACCUUUUGCUAAUCUUGCAUGGAUUGCUUUUCGGAACAAGGCUGGGGAGUUAACUUCGCUCCAAUCUUAUACAAGAAUACCAAAAGCACAAAUGUCAUUAUUCCCGGCCACGCCCAUCUUUACCGUAACUUGGGAUAGGGGAAGGAAAUGUUGAUGUAGCACUUAUAUAAGAGGCCUCCGACUCAGUGACACUCCCAUAAGUACUACGGAGUGGGUGGUUGGGAGAUGUAUUAUGUAGGUCAAGGAUUCGCCUGAAAAGCUGGCGAUGGACCCACGGCAUUGGUUGUUUAGUUGGUUAAAAUUUAAUCUUUUGAAAGCCGGCAAUCAAAAGAGAUUUUUUUUCUAUUUAUUGUUUAAAUAAUUAUGUUCCUGCUCAGUAAGAGGCUCAAUCAGAACCGAUCCCUCCAGGGUCAUCGGAACAUCACAGUAAAUGUUUGAAACGCGUGAAAAAAAAACAAAUUUGGCGAUCCGGAAAAAAAAACUCAAUUACACUGAAACCUCCAUUUAAGUCGAUGCAUGGCUGAUCGAAAAUAAUUUUUACCGUGCCGGCAAUGACUAAACUAUACAGUUUUAUAUUUUUUGACAAAUCUCCUUUGUCAUGCGAAGUGUUAAAAAAUAUAAAAGUCUAUAGUUUUGUCAUUGCUUGCACGGUAAAAAAUAUUUUCGAUCAGCCAUGCAUCGACUUAAAUGGAGGUUUCAGUGUAUAUAAAAAAAAACGCGAAAACAACGAAAAAAAAACAUCUCAAUUUAUUAAAAAAAACGUAAAACGAGUUGAAGAAAAUAAAAUCAAAAGAUAUUUUUUCUAUUUAUUGUAUAAACAAGUAUGUUUCGGCUCAGUGCGAGGAACAAGCAGAACCGAUCCCUCCAGGGUCAUCGGAACUUUGCAAUAAAUGUUUAAAACGCAAGGAAAAAAAAUUGGUGACUCGAAAAAUAACAAAAUAAAAGAA